rnacentral:rRNA from 1 species
CCUUGUUGAUCUUGCAAGUAGUUAUAUGCUUGUCAUAAAGCCAUGCAUGUGUAAAUAUGAACUAAUUUAGAGUGUGAAACUCCAAAUAGCUGAUUAAAUCAGUUAUAGUUUGUUUGAUGGUAUCUUCUACUCGGAUAACUCUAGUAAUUCUAAAGCUAAUAUGUGCAAAAUACCUCGACUUCUGGAAGGGAGGCAUUUAUUUGAUAAAAGGUCGAUGCGGGCUCUACCCGUUGCUUCAAUGAUUCAUGAUAACUCAACUGAUUGCAUGGGUACAUCAUUCAAAUGAACUAUCCUAUUAUCAACUUUCGAUGGUAGGAUAGUGGCCUAUCCUGGUGGUGACAGGUGACGGAGAAUUAGGGUUUGAUUCUGGAAAGGGAGCCAAAGAAAUGGCUACCACAUCCAAGGAAGGCAGCAGGCGCACAAAUUACUUGACCCUGACACGGAGAGAUAGGGACAAUAAAGAACAAUAUCGGGCUCCUUGAGUCUGGUAGUUGGAAUGAGUACAAUCUAAAUCCCUUAACGAGGAUCUAUUGGAGGGCAAGUUUGGUGCUAGAGUCGUGGUAAUUCCAGCUCCAAUAGCGUAUAUUUAAGUUGCUGUAAUUAAAAAGCUCAUAGUUGGACUUUGGGAUGGCGGCCAGUCCGCCAAUCGGUGUGCACCAGUCGUCACGUCUUUUCUACCAGCGAUGCGCUCCUGGCCUUAGUUGUCCAGGUCGUGCCUCCGGCACCAUUACUAUGAAGAAAUUAGAGUGUUCAAAGCAAGCUUAGGCUCUGGAUGCAUUAGCAUCGAAUAACAAUAUAGGAUUUUUGUCCUAUUCUGUUGGCUUUCGGGAUUGGAGUAAUAAUUAACAGGGACAGUCGGGGACAUUUGUAUUUCAUAGUCAGAGGUGAAAUUCUUGGAUUUAUGAAAGGCAAACAACUGCAAAAGCAUUUGCCAAGGUGGGGGCUCGAAGAUGAUUAGAUACCGUUCUAGUCUCAACCACAAACGAUGCCAACCAGGGAUCGGCUAAUGUUGCUUUAAGGACUCCAGCGGCAUCUUAUGAGAAAUCAAAGUUUUUGGGUUCUAGGAGUAUUAUGGUCGCAAGGUUGAAACUUAAAGGAAUUAACAGAAGGGCAAUACCUGGAGUGGAGCUUGCAGCAUAAUUUGACUCAACACUGGGAAACUUACCAGGUCCAAAUAUAGUAAGGAUUGACAAACUAAGAGCUCUUUCUUAAUUCUAUGGGUAGUAGUGCAUGGUCGUUCUUAGUUGAUAGAGCGAUUUGUCUGGUUAAUUCAGUUAAUGAACGUGACCUCAAUGAGCUAACUAGCUAUGUGGAGGAAUCCCUCUGCAACUAGCUUCUUAAAGGGACUACGGCCUUUUAGGCCAUGGAAGUUUGAGGCAAUAACAGAUUUGUGAUGCCCUUAGAUAUUCUAUGCCACAAGCGCUACAUUGACAUUUCCAACAAGUCUAUAGUCUUGGCCGACAGGCCCGGGUAAUCUUUGAAAUUUUAUCGUGAUGGGGAUAGAUCAUUGCAAUUAUUGGUCUUCAACGAAGAAUUCCUAGUAAGCGCGAGUCAUCAACUCGCGUUGACUACGUCCCUGCCCUUUGUACACACCACUCGUCGCUCCUAUCGAUUGAAUGGUCAGAUGAAGUGUUAGGAUUGUAGCGACAUGAGCGAUUUGCUGCCACAACGUCGUAAGAAGCCUAUUGAACCUUAUCAUUUAAAGAAAAGAGAAGUCGUAACAAGGUUUUCGUAGGUGAACCUGCGGAAG